CCCCUCCAGAUUCCUGACCCAUCAGACCUGAACACUGGUCAGAGUGGUGGUAAGAGGAGGAGGGGUCCAGUGGAAACUGACUUAAGUUCUGGUGUGACUCACAAGCUGGUGUCAAGCAAAA
rnacentral:snoRNA from 1 species